AUUUAUUUAAUUAUAAAAAUCUCACUAUUUUCUAAAAUUCUAUUUAUUUAUUUUUUUACUAAUUUUUUUUAAUUUAUUUUAAAAAAAUGGGAUAUUACAACAAUAAUCCUUGUUUUUUCCAAUUCCCAUCCAUGAACUCCGUAUGAGCAUGGCCUGCUAUAUCGAAUUUUGUGGAGAAACUCAUCUUUGUAGUUCAAACUGCUUCAGUCUACUCUCUCCAUUCUCCUUACAAAAAUGCAAUAUAUAAUCAAACAAAUAGCAAAAAGGAAAGGGAUGUGAAGCAACCAAAAUAAUGAGUACCUAGCUCUGAUGCAGGGACUCUGAAAUAGAGGUCUUGUCCCCCUUUAGAGAAUUGUCUCAUCAAUCAGAUCGAUCAUCGAACCAAAGUAAACAGCCACUUCCUCCAUUACGAAUAUCCAAA
rnacentral:lncRNA from 1 species